CAAAUAUAGUGACAUUCAACCCACAUUACUGACAUUGUUUACAAUUGUCGCAAAUGAAAACAAUUACUGGGUAUUGUUAUAACUGAAGGAAAUGGCAUCUACCAGCUAGACAGGGCACAACAGAUCACCAUCUUCAGACUGAGAACCGGACAUUGUCAGUUCCUCUCGCAUCUCUUCAGGCUGAAAAUCUCUCACAGACGCCAGCUCACAUUCUCCAAUCCUGUCCCACCUUUGACACCCUGCGACAGCAAACUUGGCCCAGUGCCAUGGACCGGAGGGAGAAGCUGUGGGAACCAGUGACAUCGCUAAGGCAGAUGGCGGACUUCGUCCACAAUACUGGACUACCCAUCCAACAUGGCCGGGAUCGCUGAAGAAGAAUGAAGAAGUUAUAAUUAAACUGAAUGCUGGUGAUGAUUAUGGAUGAAACCAGGUAUCCAAGACUCUCAAAGAUGUACCUGAAACACAGACAAAAAUAAAUAAAAUACCAGUAUGUAUAUUUUUAGGAUGAGGGUGGGGGGAGUGCCAUAUGUCAGAGAUUUGAUUAAUGGAAAUAUUUAUGUAAUAAAUUAUAAACGAUA